UACGUAGGGGGCAAGCGUUGUCCGGAAUCAUUGGGCGUAAAGCGCGUGUAGGCGGCUAGGUAAGUCUGCUCUGAAAGCCCGGGGCUCAACCCCGGGAGGCGGGUGGAUACUGUCUAGCUCGAGUCCGGAAGAGGAGUGUGGAAUUCCUGGUGUAGCGGUGAAAUGCGCAGAUAUCAGGAGGAACACCAAUGGCGAAGGCAGCACUCUGGGACGUGACUGACGCUGUGACGCGAAAGCGUGGGGAGCGAACAGG
rnacentral:rRNA from 1 species